rnacentral:rRNA from 1 species
AAUGAACGCUGGCGGCAGGCCUAACACAUGCAAGUCGAGCGGAGUGGCGGACGGGCGAGUAAUGCCUAGGAAUCUGCCUGGCAGUGGGGGAUAACGUCCGGAAACGGGCGCUAAUACCGCAUACUACUAGAUGAGUCUAGGUCGGGUUAGCUAGUUGGUGGGGUAAAGUCCUACCAAGGCGACGAUCCGUAACUGGUCUGAGAGGAUGACCAGUCACACUGGAACUGAGACACGGUCCAGACUCCUACGGGAGGCAGCGGUGGGGAAUAUUGCACAAUGGGCGAAAGCCUGAUGCAGCCAUGCCGCGUGUGUGAGGAAGGCCUUAGGGUUGUAAAGUACUUUCAGCGGGGAGGCGUUACCCACAGAGAAAGCACCGGCUAACUCCGUGCCAGCAGCCGCGGUAAUAC